rnacentral:rRNA from 1 species
AUACGUAGGUGGCAAGCGUUGUCCGGAAUUACUGGGUGUAAAGGGCGUGUAGGCGGGGAGACAAGUCAGAUGUGAAAUACCGUGGCUUAACUGCGGGGGUGCAUCUGAAACUGUUUCUCUUGAGUGUCGGAGAGGAAAGUGGAAUUCCCAGUGUAGCGGUGAAAUGCGUAGAGAUUGGGAGGAACACCAGUGGCGAAGGCGGCUUUCUGGACGAUAACUGACGCUGAGGCGCGAAAGCGUGGGUAGCAAACAGGAUUAGAUACCCUGGUAGUCCACGCCGUAAACGAUGGAUACUAGGUGUAGGAGGUAUCGACCCCUUCUGUGCCGCAGUUAACACAAUAAGUAUCCCACCUGGGGAGUACGGCCGCAAGGUUGAA